GUCUCUUUAAAAAACUCCUGCUCUUCCUGAAACUCCACCUUCAGGAAAUUAUCACAACAGGGCUCCACUUUUAACCCUUUAACAAUGUUUUUACCAGCGUUUCACUGAGAACAAUUAGCUUUUUGC